GACGAACGCUGGCGGCGUGCUUAACACAUGCAAGUCGAACGGAGUGGCGAACGGGUGAGUAACACGUGGGUGAUCUGCCUUGCACUUCGGGAUAAGCUUGGGAAACUGGGUCUAAUACCGGAUAGUGCAAGAUGAGCUCGGGGCCUAUUAGCUUGUGGGGGGGGUAAUGGCCUACCAAGGCGUCGACGGGUAGCCGGCCUGGGAGGGUGUACGGCCUCAUUGGGCCUGAGAUACGGCCCAGAGUCGUACGGGAGGCAGUAGUGGGGAAUAUUGCACAAUGGGGGGAAGCCUGUUGCAGCGGCGUCGCGUGGGGGAUGAAGGCCUUCGGGUUGUAAACUCCUGUCGGCAGGGACGCGGUACCUGUAUAAGAAGCACCGGCUAACUACGUGCCAGCAGCCGCGGUAAUUC
rnacentral:rRNA from 1 species